rnacentral:rRNA from 1 species
UUUAAUUCGAUGCAACGCGAAGAACCUUACCUACUCUUGACAUCCAGAGAACUUAGCAGAGAUGCUUUGGUGCCUUCGGGAACUCUGAGACAGGUGCUGCAUGGCUGUCGUCAGCUCGUGUUGUGAAAUGUUGGGUUAAGUCCCGCAACGAGCGCAACCCUUAUCCUUUGUUGCCAGCGGUCCGGCCGGGAACUCAAAGGAGACUGCCAGUGAUAAACUGGAGGAAGGUGGGGAUGACGUCAAGUCAUCAUGGCCCUUACGAGUAGGGCUACACACGUGCUACAAUGGCGCAUACAAAGAGAAGCGAACUCGCGAGAGCAAGCGGACCUCAUAAAGUGCGUCGUAGUCCGGAUCGGAGUCUGCAACUCGACUCCGUGAAGUCGGAAUCGCUAGUAAUCGUGGAUCAGAAUGCCA